rnacentral:misc_RNA from 1 species
UCUCCGUAGGUGAACCUGCGGAGGGAUCAUUACAGAGUUCAUGCCCUACUGGGUAUAUCUCCCACCCUAUGUUAUUAUUACUUUGUUGCUUUGGCGGGCCGUUAGGCUCCGGCCCGACUACCGGCCCCGGCUGGUAAGCGCCCGCCAGAGGACCCAAAACCCUGAAUAUUAGUGUCGUCUGAGUACUAUAUAAUAGUUAAAACUUUCAACAACGGAUCUCUUGGUUCUG